rnacentral:lncRNA from 1 species
CAGGAAAUAGUGAAUCCGGUAUUUUUCCCAAUGGAGAAGCACCCUCCUAGCCACCGACCAGAAGGGAACAUGAUGUCUCCUCUUCUGUUAUAGCCUGGAGUGAUCCACAGGUGCUUACAGCAGGGAGGGAGAGGGACACUGCCAUGCCACAGGACUUGAAAGAUGCUGUUUUUAGGCUUAAAAAGUUAACAGCUCAUUAUAAAAUUUAUUUGAGGUCUAGGCAAUCUCCAGAUACCUAUGUAAUUAGAAAUAGGGCAAGCUAGAUCCAGAGAAUUAAAACAUCAGCUCAUUUCACACACAUUUAUUGUGAACACUCUCUGUGUUAUACAUUAUUUUAGGCAGAGAAAAUAAACAAUAACACAAACAAGACACUGUCUGGCUUCAUGGAACUUACCAACUAUCGUGGAGAUGACUGGCUAUCCAUCAGAAAUACACCUGGGAGUUAGCACCUUCAGAUAUUACAUCAUACAAAGCAAGUUGUGGAUGAUUAUCAAGAAGAGCGAAGGGCCUGAGAUUUUACUCUACUUCAAGCCAACAUGUUAGCCGGACAGUUCCAUGGAUACUGGCAGAAGAUAGAAGACUCCUGGGCAGAGACAGAGGACAGUUGAUUACUUAUAGCAAUUAUAGUGACCAGAGUAAUUAGAGUAAUAUCAUUUUCUUAACCCAAUUCCCUGAGCCUUAAUUCCCAGAGUGUGCC